UACGAAGGGUGCAAGCGUUACUCGGAAUUACUGGGCGUAAAGCGUGCGUAGGUGGUUUGUUAAGUCUGAUGUGAAAGCCCUGGGCUCAACCUGGGAAUUGCAUUGGAUACUGGCAGGCUAGAGUGCGGUAGAGGGUAGUGGAAUUCCCGGUGUAGCAGUGAAAUGCGUAGAGAUCGGGAGGAACACCAGUGGCGAAGGCGGCCUGCUGGGCAGUUGCUGACACUGAGGCGCGACAGCGUGGGGAGCAAACAGG
rnacentral:rRNA from 1 species